rnacentral:rRNA from 1 species
CGUCGCAAGCUUACCCUGUGAAGGUUCCACAGUAAGCAAAAUGGAGAAAUCCCAGAACGUCAGGUCGAGGUGUAGCUUAUGAGGUGGGAAGAAAUGGGCUACAUUUUCUGUAACAGAAUAACACGAACGACGCCAUGAAACUGGUGUCCGAAGGUGGAUUUAGAAGUAAAAAACAAAUAGAGAGUCUUUUUGAACCAGGCUCUGAGACGCGCACACACCGCCCGUCACCCUCCCCAUUCAUCCAUUUUAACCUACGUAAAUAACCAAACUAAGCCAUGAAAACGGGGAGGCAAGUCGUAACAUG